rnacentral:rRNA from 1 species
UACGAAGGGGGCUAGCGUUGCUCGGAAUCACUGGGCGUAAAGCGCACGUAGGCGGACUCUUAAGUCAGGGGUGAAAUCCUGGAGCUCAACUCCAGAACUGCCUUUGAUACUGGGAGUCUUGAGUUCGGGAGAGGUGAGUGGAACUGCGAGUGUAGAGGCGAAAUUCGUAGAUAUCGGGAGGAACACCAGUGGCGAAGGCGGCGAUCUGGGAAGAUACUGACGCUGAGGUGCGAAAGCGUGGGGAGCAAACAGG